ACACACGGGGACACUAUGAUGAGGCCAGGUGAGCGCACAUUGGGACACUAUGAUGGGGCUAGGUGAAUGCACACUGGGACACUGUGAUGUGGCUAGGUGAGAGCACACUGGGGCACUAUGAUGGGGUUAGGUGAGCGCACACUGGGACACUAUGAUGAGGCUAGGUGAGCGAACACUGGGGCACUAUGAUGACGCCAGAUGACUGCACACUGGGGUACUAUGAUGAGUCUAGGUGAGUGCACACUGGGGCACUAUGAUGAGGCCAGGUGAGCGCAGACUGGGGCACUAUGAUGAGGCCAGGUGAGCGCACACUGGACACUGUAAUAAGGCCCGGUGAGCGUACACUGAGGCACUAUGAUGAGGCCAGGUGAGCGCACACUGGGGCACUAUGAUGAGGCCAGGUGAGCGCACACUGGGACACUAUGAUGAUGCCGGAUGAGCGCACACUGGGACACUAUGAUGAGGCCAGGUGAGCACACUCUGCGACACUAUGAUGAGGCCAGGUGAGGGCACACUGAGGCACUAUGAUGAGGCCGGGUGAGCGCACAGUGGGACACUAUGAUGAGGCCAGGUGAGCGCACACUGGGACACUAUGAUGAGGCCGGGUGAGCACACACUGGGACACUUUGAUGAGGCCAGGUGAGUGCAUACUGGGACCCUAUGAUGAGGCCAGGUGAGUGCACACUGGGACACUAUGAUGAGGCUAGGUGAGCGGACACUGGGACACUAUGAUGAGGCUAGGUGAGCGCACACUGAGGCACUAUGAUGAGGCCGGGUGAGCGCACACUGGGGCACUAUGAUGAUGCCGGGUGAGCGCACAGUGGGACACUAUGAUGAGGCUAGGUGAGUGCACACUGGGACACUAUGAUGAGGCCAGGUGAGUGCACACUGUGGCACUAUGAUGAGGCUAGUUGAGUUCACACUGGGGCAUUAUGAUGAAGCUAGGUGAGCGCACACUGUGACAGUAAGAUGAGGCCAGGUGAGCGCACACUGGGACAGUAAGAUGAGGCCAGGUGAGCGCACACUGGGACACUAUGAUGAGGCUAGGUGAGUGCACCCUGGGGCACUAUGAUGAGGCCGGGUGAGUGCACACUGCGACACUAUGGUGAGGCUAGGUGAGUGCACACUGCGGCACUAUGAUGAGGCCGGGUGAGCGUACACUGGGGCACUAUGAUGAGGCUAGCUGAGUGCACACUGGGGCGGUAUGAUGAGGCUCGGUGAGUGCACACUGGGACACUAUGAUGAGGCUAGGUGAGUGCACGCUGGGGCACUAUGAGGCUCGGUGAGUGCACACUGUGACACUAUGAUGAGGCUAGGUGAGUGGAUACUGCGGUACUAUGAUGAGGGCAGGUGAGUGCACACUGGGACAUGAUGAGGCUAGGUGAUUGCACACUGGGGCACUAUAAUGAGGUCAGAUCAACGCACACUGGGGCACUAUGUUGAGGCUAGGUGAGUGCACACUGGGAAACUAUGAUAAGGCUAGAUGAGUGUACACUGGGGCACUAUGAUGACGCUAGCUCAGUGCACACUGGGACACUAUGAUGAGGCCGGGUGAGUGCACACUGGGACACUAUGAUGAGGCCAGGUGAGCGCACACUGGGACACUAUGAUGAGGCUAGGUGAGGGGACACUAGGGCACUAUGUUGAGGCUAGGUGAGCGCACACUGGGACACUAUGAUGAGGCCGGUUGAGUGCACACUGGGGCACUAUGCUGAGGCUAGGUGAGUGCUCACUGGGGCACUAUGAUGAGGCCAGGUGAUUGCACACUGGGACACUAUGAUGAGGCCGUAUGCGUGCACACUGGAACACUAUGAUGAGGCUAGGUGAGCGCACACUGGAACACUAUGAUGAGGCUAGGUGAGCGCACACUGGGACACUAUGAUGAGGCUAGGUGAGGGGACACUAGGGCACUAUGUUGAGGCUAGGUGAGCGCACACUGGGACACUAUGAUGAGGCCGGUUGAGUGCACACUGGGGCACUAUGCUGAGGCUAGGUGAGUGCUCACUGGGGCACUAUGAUGAGGCCAGGUGAUUGCACACUGGGACACUAUGAUGAGGCCGUAUGCGUGCACACUGGAACACUAUGAUGAGGCUAGGUGAGCGCACACUGGAACACUAUGAUGAGGCUAGGUGAGCGCACACUGGGACACUAUGAUGAGGCUAGGUGAACACACACUGGGACACUAUAAUGAGGCUCGGUGUGUGCACACGGGGGCACUAUGAUGAGGCUAGGUGAGCGCACACUGGGACACUAUGAUGAGGCUAGGUGAGUGCACACUGGGACACUAUGAUGGGGCUAGGUGAGUGCACACUGGGACACUAUGAUGUGGCUAGGUGUGAGCACACUGGGGCACUAUGAUGGGGUUAGGUGAGCGCACACUGGGACACUAUGAUGAGGCUAGGUGAGUGCACACUGGGACACUAUGAUGAGGCCGGGUGAGUGCACACUGGGACCCUAUGAUGAGGCCGGGUGAGUGCACACUGGGACCCUAUGAUGAGGCCGGGUGAGUGCACACUGGGACACUAUGAUGAGGCUAGCUGAGUGCACACUGGGGCACUAUGAUGAGGCUAGGUGAGCGCACACUGGGACACUAUGAUGAGGCCGGGUGAGCGAACACUGGGACACUAUGAUGAGGCUAGGUGAGGGCACACUGGGGCACUAUGAUGAGGCCGGGUGAGCGCACACUGGGGCACUAUGAUGAGGCUAGGUGAGCGCACACUGGGAUACCAUGAUGAGGCCAGGUGAGUGUACACUGGGACACUAUGAUG
rnacentral:lncRNA from 1 species